UUCUACAGCCAUGCCACCCUGAACAUAUCCGAUCUCGUCUGAUCUCGAAGCUAAGCAGGGUCAGGCCUGGGUUACACUUCAAUGGGAGACCACCUAGAAAUAUCAGGUGCUGUAGGCG
rnacentral:rRNA from 1 species